rnacentral:rRNA from 1 species
GAUGAACGCUGACAGAAUGCUUAACACAUGCAAGUCGAAGGGGAAGUGGUGCUUGCCCCAUGGCAACCAUGGCGGACGGGUGAGUAACGCGUAAGGGACUUACCUGCAGGACUGGGAUAACAGGGGGAAACUCCUGACAAGAUCGGAUAAUGUCAUGGAGCUGCAUGGCUUUAUGAUGGAAGGAGACGCCUGCGGAGAGCCUUGCGUCCUAUUAGCUAGUUGGUGAGGUAAUGGCUCACCAAGGAGAAGAUAGGUAGCCGGCCUGAGGGGGUGGACGGCCACAAGGGGACUGAGAUACGGCCGUUACUCCUACGGGAGGCAGCAGUGGGGAAUAUUGGACAAUGGGGGCAACCCUGAUCCAGCAAUUCUGUGUGCACGAAGAAGGUUUUCGGAUUGUAAAGUGCUUGCAGCAGGGAAGAAGUAAGUGACGGUACCUGCAGAAGAAGCGACGGCUAAAUACGUG